rnacentral:lncRNA from 1 species
GUGAUUCUGACUCAGCGAAAGAGCUGGUGGGGUUCAAAUCAUUCCAUCUUUCUGGGAUUGGAGGGCGUGGGGGUGGUGUUGGGGGAAGAGACUGGAGCACCAACUGAGAAUUCUUAAUGCAGAUUAUAGUGCUGGAGAGGGUAACAAAAGAGGGCAGCAUCAAAGAGAUUGACCCAUCCAGUUUAGGGAUCGAGGGUAGCUAGAAGCAUUCCGGUUGCUGGUAGUAAACAGAUUAUAAAAGAUUAAGCAGUAGGUGGUGUGAGACUUGGAGGCAGCAAGUGAAAAGUAUUUUUACAAGAAAGUUAACAGUGGUGGGAAAGAGGCAGAGCAUCACUUAA